rnacentral:rRNA from 1 species
UGGGGAAUAUUGGACAAUGGGCGAAAGCCUGAUCCAGCCAUGCCGCGUGUGUGCAGAAGGUCUUCGGAUUGUAAAGCACUUUAAGUUGGGAGGAAGGGCAGUAAGCGAAUACCUUGCUGUUUUGACGUUACCGACAGAAUAAGCACCGGCUAACUCUGUGCCAGCAGCCGCGGUAAUACAGAGGGUGCAAGCGUUAAUCGGAAUUACUGGGCGUAAAGCGCGCGUAGGUGGUUCGUUAAGUUGAAUGUGAAAGCCCCGGGCUCAACCUGGGAACUGCAUCCAAAACUGGCGAGCUAGAGUAGGGCAGAGGGUGGUGGAAUUUCCUGUGUAGCGGUGAAAUGCGUAGAUAUAGGAAGGAACACCAGUGGCGAAGGCGACCACCUGGGCUCAUACUGACACUGAGGUGCGAAAGCGUGGGGAGCAAACAGG